ACAGAUAUUUUUAGCCCAUUUCUUCUUCUCAUCAAGAAACAUUUAUGUUAGACACUGGUAAUGCUGUCAAGAGUCAUAUAUGCUCUCUGUUCUCAGCACCAUGGUAUGGGCAGGAAGACAUGUAAGUCUAAUUAAGUGUUAGAUGUCAAGGUUCAUAAUAUGGGAGCUCAUUCUUCCUGGAGGGCUUAUCAGAGCAACAUGUUUGUCAGAAAGGAAAGUAGGUAAGAGAAUUCCAGAAAAGAAUGUGUGGAACACGGGCAGAUUCUAGGAUCCCUGUGGUUUGUUGUGAUAGAUGGAAUGGUGUGGUGGGGAUGCAGGGAGAGCAAGGCAGCAAUCAGGGCACCCUAAUAAUAAAUGUCCUCUUCUCAGUGGGGCCCUCUGGAGGAACUUUUGAAAGAUCUCCUUGGAUGUUGUGAGUAGGAUAAAGUGAAGCUAACAGAUUAUUUUAGGAUACUAUUUAAUACUCCAGGCUACAGAUUUAAAAGAAUUCCCACUACAGUGUCGUCAGAGGAGAUAGGAUAAGAUAAACACCCAGAAGUCAGAGCAGACAAGACUGGGGUUUGGAUGAAGAAAGAGAAGUAAGGCAGAUGUAAAGACUGAGUAGCAGAUCCAACCCUGCUGAAGGAGUAAACUUCCUACCCCAUAAAUGGCUUUGGACAUGAAAUCUGCGUGGAAGAGAUGUGUCCUUUUGGAACAGAAUUUUUAUGAGCCAUUGUUUCCACCAACUCGCCAUUUCUCCAUCGCCACGAGGCCCGCAACUCACCCUCCGUGGACAUAGAAACAAAGCAUCCACAUUAAAAGAUGGUGACGGGUGCAGUGAGAUGAAGCAGGCAACUUGCAAAUACAGACAACAGAAAACCAUUUUGUCAACAAAGCUGUAAUCUUGGACCCAUCUUUGAAAAGAUCUAGGCUCCUUACACAGGAUGGUGGACAUAAGAAGAGAUGUGAGAGCUGGAGGCCCAAGGACCAGAUCCACCAUCACCCCAGGUCAGGGCACAGACCACCUGCUGUGACCCUGGGACUAACCAUUAGAACAGUGUUUUAUCUGCUUUAGAGAACGCCUGUCAUACCAACAGAGAUCCUAAGAAAUUUGCCUUCACUUUAGUUUAGAUGAAGAGUGAUAGAGACCUGUGUGUUCUUCCUGGUCUGUUUCUGGGAGGCCAACCGGGCGAUGACAUUGGAUUCGUGGCCUUCUGCCUGGUUCGCAUCCGCAGCUCCACUCCCGUGUUCCUAUGAAAUCCAAGCCAUAAAGAAUGAGGAUGGAGGAAGCUACCAAGCACCUGGUUACUCUGCUGCAUUGUGCACAACUUCUCCAUUAUUCUCAUCUCAGAGUGCAACUGUCAUACCUGCCCGCCUGCUCUGGAGCUCACCCGUGACUACAGCCUGGCCCAUGGGUAGAAACAGGAGCAUCUAGACCCGGACCUGUUACCAACACUCCGGGUGACCUCACUUUAGGCUGACAGUUCUUAGUUUACAGGAGUAUAGUGGCUCACUCUGAAGGCAGGACAGACCUGAUUAGAAACCAGGCUUUAUCAGCAACCAGCUGCAUAACCUCGAGACUGUCAUUUAACUUCCCUGGGGGCUAUUUAACUCAAGUGUAAAAUGGAGAAAAUAAGAACAAUAUCAGCUACCUUAGAGGGCUAUUGUAAGAACUUGCUGAAGUAAUGGAAAUGCUUAGCACCUUAUGGGUGCUUAAUAAAUGGGGUGGAGAAGGUGUAAGUAUAUAAACAGUGGUAAUUACUGGGGAGAAAAUGGGCUGAGAGAGGCUACAGGAGCUGGUAGAGUCAAUGCUACAACAGUAGGUCCUCUGACCCAGGGUUCUCACAGCAUGCCAGCGGCCCCAGCUAUGGCCACAUACAGAGCACAUCACCCAGGUCAAAACAAAGUGCUGCCUGGCCAGUGUGGCUUAAUGGUUGAGCGUUGACCUAUGAACUAGGAGGUCAGGGCAUAUCAAGAAUCAACCAAUGGCCGAAACCGG